CCAGACUCCUACGGGAGGCAGCAGUGGGGGAUAUUGCACAAUGGGGGCAACCCUGAUGCAGCGACGCCGCGUGAGCGAUGGAGUACUUCGGUAUGUAAAGCUCUGUCAGCAGGGAAGAGAAUGACGGUACCUGACCAAGAAGCCCCGGCUAAAUACGUGCCAGCAGCCGCGGUAAUACGUAUGGGGCAAGCGUUAUCCGGAAUUACUGGGUGUAAAGGGAGCGUAGGCGGGGAUGCAAGUUGGGUGUCAAAACUACCGGCUCAACUGGUAGUCGCACUCAAAACUGCAGCUCUUGAGUGAAGUAGAGGCAGGCGGAAUUCCUAGUGUAGCGGUGAAAUGCGUAGAUAUUAGGAGGAACACCAGUGGCGAAGGCGGCCUGCUGGGCUUUUACUGACGCUGAGGCUCGAAAGUGUGGGGAGCAAACAGGAUUAGAUACCCGCGUAA
rnacentral:rRNA from 1 species